UACAGAGGGUGCAAGCGUUAAUCGGAAUUACUGGGCGUAAAGCGUGCGUAGGUGGUUUUUUAAGUCAGGUGUGAAAUCCCUGGGCUCAACCUGGGAACUGCAUUUGAUACUGGAAAGCUAGAGUGUGGUAGAGGGUGGUGGAAUUCCCGGUGUAGCGGUGAAAUGCGUAGAUAUCAGGAAGAACACCAAUGGCGAAGGCAGCUCUCUGGGACGGUACUGACGCUGAGACGCGAAAGCGUGGGGAGCGAACAGG
rnacentral:rRNA from 1 species